rnacentral:ribozyme from 12 species
AAAAAAGGAUACAUUCGACAUGUUGUAAUAAGAGUCACGGUUUUCAACUUCUCUUUCUCCUUCUCCUUCUCUUUCUCCUUCUUCUUCACCUCUGUCCAAGGAAUAAAAA